rnacentral:tRNA from 1 species
GCCGAAGUGGCGGAACUGGCAGACGCGCUGCGUUCAGGGCGCAGUGAGGGCAACCUCGUGGGGGUUCGAAUCCCCCCUUCGGUACCA